AAGUAACACAAAACACAAUUAUAAGAAGCGUACAACAGCAUGAACCUACGUGCAGAGCAGUAUAUGAGCAGCAUAUGUAGCACUAUAUCAGCCGUAUAAAAGUCUAUAAGUGUCUUGUAAGCGCAAUUUGGGCCCCAAAUAAUACGGCUUUGAGCAUUAUUAAAUAUUAUUAGUGCUGCUAACCAGCGCUUAUAAUGUUAUUGAAGACAGACAUUAGUAAAGUUGUUAGACAGCAUAUUCUAAUGUAAAAAGCAUUUUAUUAGAUGUUAGUACAGCUUUGAAACAGCUUUCAGAAUUACAAUGCCAAAGUUACGUUUUAUUCUAAGGCUGAACGUUUUAUUUUGUUUGUUUGAAAGUAUUCGAAAAAACUUAUCGCAUUUUAUUGUCCGAUUUGAUUAUUUUUCGUUUAGAGUAUUGCAGUGCAAUGGUGUUGUGAGGAGAUGUUUUAAUGUCUUUAUUUAAAAUAAUUUAUCAUAAGGUAAGUAUCAUUUUUUUUUGUUUCAAGAAUGAAAAUGAGCUGGGAGUAUUAGUCUUAUGUGAAAAUAUAUAUAUGUUUGUGGUUUAUAAUUCACGCGCCCUCACAGAAAUCCUUUUUUUAAUAAAAUAGGGACAAAUUUAGAAUCGACAUAUGACACUUUUUGUGAUUUUUUUAACGAUUUGAUUAAUUUUAACUUAUAAAAUUGCUUCUAUCGAUACUCCGCUUGUAAGAAAAGGAUAAUAAGUAGUACUUCAUGCAUAUGUGUAUUAUAAUUUUAUUUUCUAUGUUAGAGAAAACAGAAAGCAAAUGGCGUCAGAUAAUAUUAAUGUUUUAAACUUUCAACUAGUGUCUUUUAAUGUUGUCAGUCUUAUUAUAGUAAAAAGAAAAUGGUUAAGUCAUUCAACCUACAUAUAAAAUAUCUAAGUGAUAUCUUUAGCAUUACUGUAACACUUUUUAGGUAUGUUAUAAUGUUCAUUAGGUUUAAACGUCAUAAAAAUGGAUUGCUUUAGUGUUAAUCAGGGUACCGAAACAAUAAUUUAGAAUCCUUUAAUCACGUCAUGAUCCCCUACUCCACGUCUUUCAAUUUUAUCUGUCUCCAAUUAGAUGCCUUUUAAAAUAGUGCAAACGACCGAAAGGGAUGAAGGAAUGUUCUACGGAACUUCUUGACUCACACAACAACCGAUUGUACUGUAUUUUGUGUAUGAGGUGUAUCAUUUUUUGGAACACGUUUUGCAUUUCUUAAACCAAAUAUAAAGUUUGAAUAUUC